CUGAGGCUACAAAGAUAGAACGGAUGGGUUGCCAAAAAAAAAAAAAGGAAAAAGGAAAAAAAGAAAGGAUGGGUUGCAAAUUCAGGUGACCAAGCAGGAAACACAUUUUCCUUCUAUAGGAGAAAUCUCCCCUGGUGCCUUUAUAGCUCACAAUUGAAACCCUACCUUCUUUAACAUACGAUGAGCAUUUUUCAUAAAGCUGCCCUCACCCAAGUAGUUGAAAAACGGACAACCGUUUUUCAAAAUGACUCGUUAGAGGACAGCAGGGCAACUUAAUAGAGAAGUGCCGUUUAGUGUCAACGCUCCUACGGUGUUGGCGGCACUAGCCAUGCAAGUGCCCACACCUCCCUCAGUCCUCAGUUACCCACACUGGCUGUAACACACAGAGUCCUACCUUGCUUGCUUCCUUCCCUAAAGGAAGAAAGGUUGUCAUGUGACUUUCAAGCAAUUGGUGCAGGAUACGUGGACGCACAGCAUCUAGCCAGGAAGACUUCCACAUUUUUUGGUUUCAAAAGGAUAUGAUAGAUCUGCAGUUCUUUUAAGCAUAGCAUUUCUAAAGACAUGGUCACAGCUGCCUGAAGCAUGUCUUCUUCACUCAUAGCAUCACCUGUUGGGAAACAAAACCACAUUUCUUAAAAAUUUCCAGAAAAUUCUCAAAGUCAUCAAAAGGUCAGGCAUCCUAAAUCUGAGAAUCGGAAAUCCAAAUGCUCCAAAAUCAGAAACUUUUUGAGCACCAACAUGAUACUCAAAAGAGGUGCUCAGUGGAACACUUCAGAUUUAAGAUUUUGGAUUUGGAAUGCUUAACUGGCCUACAGGACUGCCUGAAGCGGCCAUGAGCAGCUACAUGAACUACCACGUCUAUUUGGGAAUGUGCUCCCAUACCUCCAAAGCUGUUUUUCUAACUGAUUGGUAGAGGAAUUUUGCAGGGUUAAUAAGAGAUGGGGUCUUGUGCCAUUGCCCAGGCUGGUCCUGAACUCCGUGAGCUCAAGCAAUCCUCCUGCCUUGGCCUCCAAAAGUGCUGGGAUUACAGACAUGAGCCACUGCAUCUGGCCUCUGAAAUGUUUUGACAUCUGUAUACUGUACUCCCAUGAAACCAUUACUACAACCAAGAUAGUGAACACAUUCAUCACUGCCACGUUUCCCGUGCCUCUCUGUAACCCUCCCCUCUCACUCCUCCGUAGCCUUCUCGUCCCCAGGCAACCACUGGUCAAUCUGCUUUCCAUCACUACAGAUGAAUCUGCACUUUUCUAGACUUUUAAUAAAUGAUACCAUACAGCAUGUAGUAUUUUGUUUCUGGGUUAUUCUUUCAGCAUAAUUAUUUUGACAUUCAUCCAUAUUGCUGCAUGUAUCACUAGUUUAUUCUUUUUUACUGUCCUAGCUGGUUUUCAAUAACCCUCUUUCAAAGAUUCAAAAUUCGAAUAAAAAGGACGUUAAAUGAUUCUGUUUCUUAAAAUAGCUUGCUCAAGACAUAUUUCAUGUUUUAUUUUAAAAAUAGAAGUGAUUUUCUGUAGAUGUAUGUAUUACAUGGCUUUUGGAAACAUAUGAAUAAUCUUACACUAAAGCAAACAUAAUUGAAUGCUUUAUUCAUGCUUGACAUUAUUUCAGGCUUUGUAACAGCACUAUGCUAAAUACAAAUCUAUAAAUGUAAUAAUUAACUGACAGAACAUAGUCAUCACAUAAAAACCCACUUAAAAGUAACCACAUUUGUAUUAUCUUUAAUAUAGAAUUUUUCUUAUGAUAUAGUUAAAUUGCAUAUACUUGUCACAAAUAAAUUUAUAAGGAAAACUGAUAUUAUCUUUUAAAAUGACAAAUUUCUAUCUAUCAAGAUAGAUAAACCAUGCCACACACACACACACAUUACUGGUCAGUUUCCUAAUUUUAAAGUCAGUAAUCCUUUUUUUUUUUUAAAUUUUUAAAUAUUUUUUUUCUUUUUAUGUUUUAUAAAACAGAGUCUUACUCUGUCACCCAGGCUGGGGUACACUGACACAAUCAUGGUUCAUUGCAGCCUCAAACUC